rnacentral:rRNA from 1 species
UACAGAGGUCUCAAGCGUUGUUCGGAUUCAUUGGGCGUAAAGGGUGCGUAGGCGGUGGGGCAAGUCAGGUGUGAAAUCCCGGAGCUCAACUCCGGAACUGCACUUGAUACUGCCUUGCUAGAGUACUGGAGAGGAGACUGGAAUUUACGGUGUAGCAGUGAAAUGCGUAGAGAUCGUAAGGAAGACCAGUGGCGAAGGCGAGUCUCUGGACAGUUACUGACGCUGAGGCACGAAGGCCGGGGGAGCAAACGGG